CAUACACCGAUAUUGUCAUUUUACCACGUAACUCUUGUUUUCCACGUAUUCGGGUCACUUCUGGCAUUUCCCGACACGGCUUGAAUGUUUACGUCUGUCAAUUCUGACGGCAUGUCAGAUGUAUUCGUGUUGUUUUGCAAAAAUGUACCCGUAGAAAUAAACUUUUUCGCUCACUCGUUUAUUAAGCACUCGCUCAGCUGCGCCCCGUUCGUGCCAAAUAAACUUGACUAAAAUGCCGUUUGCCAGACUUGUUGCAUAAUAUUAUUUUUUAUUUUAUUUUAUUAUACGUUUAAACAUUUACGUGUUAUAAAUUGCAAAAAUUUAAUAUGAUGAUGUCACUAUUUAAUUACUACUACUUAUUUCAUUUUACAAGAUGUUUGUUACAACAACAUAUCAUAACUAGCCCCUGGGGUAAAUGAAAAAUAGCUUUCGGUCAGCAUUUAGGAUUUUAAAUGGUGAGAUAACUCACUAUUCUAUUGACGUAUGACCAGGUGGUCCACCCCUCAUCAUGCCCGGAGGUGGCCCUCGCAUUCCCAUUGGCGGUCCACCACGACCCAUACCCAUUGGAUUAGGAGGCAUCCCAAGCAUACCAGGUGGGGGCCCCAUCAUACCAGGUGGGGGUCCACCCAUUCUAGGGGGACCAUGAUUCAUCUGAGGAGCGACUUGACCUGUAAUGUGUGUGAAUUUAUCAUGUUUUAUUUAACUCAGUAAAAUACGACUAGAGAAACUAACCACAUUUAAUUUACUAAAAUAUACAAAAAGUAUAAACUGCAAAUAAAAAACAGUGGAAAAUGUUGAACUAGACUAGCCACUGACUUACCUCUUCCUCCAGG